rnacentral:tRNA from 1 species
GCAUCGGUGAUUCAGUUGUAAAUUGCUCGCCUGCCGCGCGGGCGGUCCGGGUUCGAUUCCUGACCGAUGCA